AGCAUAUCAAUAAGCGGAGGAAAAGAAACUAACAAGGAUUCCCCUAGUAACUGCGAGUGAAGCGGGAAAAGCUCAAAUUUUGAAUCUGGCGGUCUCUGGCCGUCCGAGUUGUAAUCUAGAGAAGUGCUUUCCGCGCUGGACCGUGUACAAGUCUCCUGGAAUGGAGCGUCAUAGAGGGUGAGAAUCCCGUCUCUGACACGGAUCCCAGUGCUUUGUGAUGCGCUCUCGACGAGUCGAGUUGUUUGGGAAUGCAGCUCAAAUUGGGUGGUAAAUUCCAUCUAAAGCUAAAUAUAGGCGAGAGACCGAUAGCGAACAAGUACCGUGAGGGAAAGAUGAAAAGAACUUUGGAAAGAGAGUUAAACAGUACGUGAAAUUGCUGAAAGGGAAACGCUUGAAGUCAGUCGCGUUAGCUUGAGAUCAGCCUAGCUCUUUUGCUUGGUGUAUUCUCUUGUUGACGGGUCAGCAUCAAUUUUGGCUGCCGGAUAAAGGCAGAGGGAACGUGGCACCUUUCGGGGUGUGUUAUAGCCCUUUGUUGUAUACGGUGACUGGGAUUGAGGAACUCAGUACGACCUUCGGGUUUGGGGCUUCGGCCUACAUUUCGUGCUUAGGAUGCUGGCAUAAUGGCUUUAAUCGACCCGUCU
rnacentral:rRNA from 1 species